GGAGAGGUGGCAGAGUUGGUCGAUUGCGUCUGACUUGAAAUCAGAUGAGCCCUUACGGGUUCCGGGGGUUCGAAUCCCUCCCUCUCCG
rnacentral:tRNA from 3 species